rnacentral:lncRNA from 1 species
UAGCCUUGGGCAAGGCUUAUUCGACUAUCCCAGUGCUCGGCUCCUCUAUUUUUGUUCACCUUAUUUCCCUAUUCCUAUGUUACAAUCACCAUGAGAUAAUGGUUAAUUGACAAAAAUGGUAUUGAUUUAUCAAAAAAAUUAAGAAUUGAGAAGAAAACAUUAAAAAAAAUAUGAAUGGGUUGCCUUCUAUCAAGUUCUUUGUUUAUUGUUUGGGCUGGACUGUCUUGUUAGCU